rnacentral:tRNA from 2 species
GCCGAAGUGGCUCAGCCUGGUCUAGAGUGAUCGACUCAUAAUCGAUAGGUCGUGGGGUCGAAGCCCACCUUCGGCA